GAUGAACGCUGGCGGCGUGCCUAACACAUGCAAGUCGAACGAGUAAAGCACCUUCGGGUGCGUAUAAAGUGGCGAACGGCUGAGUAACACGCGGGCAACCUGCCUCUCUCAUUGGGAUAGCCACGGGAAACCGUGGAUAAUACCGAACACUUCGAGACUUCCGCAUGGAUGACCCGAGAAAGCAUCGGCGGAGUGGGAUGGGAACGCGGCCUGUUAGCUUGGUGGUGGGGUAACGGCCUACCAAGGCAAGGAUGGGUAGCGGGGUUGAGAGGCCGACCAGCCAGAUUGGGACUGAGACACGGCCCAGCCUCCUACGGGAGGCAGCGGUGGGGAAUCUUGCACAGUGGGCGAGAGCCUGAUGCGGCGCCGCCGCGUGCGGGAAGAAGGCCUUCGGGUUGUGAACCACUGUCAGCAGAGACGAGACGAUAGUGACGGUACCUGCAGAAGAAGCCCCGGCUAACUACGUG
rnacentral:rRNA from 1 species